UGGAGUUACAACAUCUAUCUUCCUGGGUAACUGUUAAAUGUGAUGGAGCCCAGCUUCCUGGAGAUGACUGAACACUUGCCUGCUGACGGGAAGCGGGUCUCCUUGGCUGGGAUGACAGGAGGACCUUUCUACAAAAGGGUCCUCCACCGUCUGGACCUGCACUCCUUAUGGAGUUCACGGAAAAUGAAAAUAACCAUUGGAGAGAGUUUCCGUAUGGGGAAUGAGAAAAUGACAAUUUUCUCCCUGGGCUCUCACCUGUCCUACAGGCAGGCUGGACCUGCUGGUGCUUCAGAAGCGUCAGCAGCACCUGCCAGUGUACGACGUCCCCUGACACCCCUGAAGAACAGAUGUUCUUCCCUGCAGUACAACCACUGACCUGGGGCACCAGCAUGAAGGAGUACCUUCAUGUCUUGUGUAAUGAUGCAAGGUAAACCAUAAUAUAAUUCUGUAUAUGACAUGCUCAUAAAUUAAGUUUAACACCCUGAUAUUUGAAAUAACCCAUCACUGG